GGUUGACCUCGGAUCAGGUAGGGAUACCCGCUGAACUUGGAAG
rnacentral:rRNA from 1 species